rnacentral:rRNA from 1 species
UACGUAGGGUGCGAGCGUUGUCCGGAAUUAUUGGGCGUAAAGGGCUCGUAGGCGGUUUGUCGCGUCGGGAGUGAAAUCCACUGGCUUAACUGGUGGCUUGCUUUCGAUACGGGCAGACUGGAGGUAUGCAGGGGAGAACGGAAUUCCUGGUGUAGCGGUGAAAUGCGCAGAUAUCAGGAGGAACACCGGUGGCGAAGGCGGGUCUCUGGACCACAUCUGACGCUGAAGCGCGAAAGCUAGGGGAGCAAACAGG